ensembl:lncRNA
AUGACUUCAGUGCGCAUGUGAACAAAUGUUGGGUUAAAAAAAAAAAGGAGUCACAAACACUUUAGAAUAAUUUAUUAGGAUUUUCAAAUUGAAACUGUCAGGAAAAAAAACAAAGAAAAAAAAAGAAGAAAAAAAAAGAAAAGCAUUGCUGUAAAGCUUGGCGGGGGACAGCCCAAAUCUUAAACUUUAACCGAGCUCAUGUAGAGCUACAAACUCCAUUCAAAGCAUUGGCCCUUUUCCUUACAACAGCACAACAAAAGACAUCAUUAAAAUCAAUAUACAAGGGGAACAAGAUCUCAAAACAGAAAAAUAUAGUUUCUUUUUUUUCUGAAAAUAAGUCUUAAUGCCGCAGAAUUAUCCACUUGUCGUCUGCUAUUACCAAUAAUAGUACUAUUUUCAUUUGUAAGUUAAAAAGUUACAGUGUUGGUGUCCAGCAGUAGUUUGUUUUUUUUUUCUUUUAUCAUGUCCCAGCCCGUCUGACAGAGGAACUACUGGCUGGAUCAGGAAGUUUUCUGCUGUGCUGAACAUCAAACAGGCUGCAGCAAGAAGGCUGAACAAACAGGCUACUUGUUUUUGCAAAGGUUGAAUUUGUUCCAGCUUUUUGACUUUUCCUGCCAGCCAGCGCCGUCUUGUACUGAGGCCCCCGUAUCAGAGCCGACUGGGAGCGAGACCCUGUUCCAUUUCUGGUUCCCUGCCCAAAACCCUGUCUGUUCACCACCACACUGAGCAGCAACUAUAUAUAAACAGUUAUCUGUUGGUUCCAGAGGUGCACAAAUUUAUUAAAACGAAGUGUGGAAUGGGAGAGAGUCAGGGGGGAGAAGAGCAGAUGAACCCAAAUGGAGCAGGGCAAACGUUCUGUUUUUUUUUUUUUUCAGUACCAAAGGAAAAAAAGGCAAUCAAAACGCUCCUUCGCUGACGAAAGUAGUUCCAUAUUACACCUUGAUGUAUGCGCACAAACACUCACUCGCACGCACGCACGCACACACGCAGACGCAAUCACAUGCACCUUCAAUAGUGAUAAGAGGAAAGAACAUGAUCGUGAUUUUUCUACAACUGCUUCUCUGAGAAUGUCCUUCAUUUGUUUGUCACGGUGGAGAACACCGCAUAAAAG